GAUCAUGGCUCAGGACGAACGCUGGCGGCGUGCCUAACACAUGCAAGUCGAACGGGGAUUUGUUUCGGCAGAAUCCUAGUGGCGAACGGGUGAGUAACGCGUAGGCAACCUGCCCUCCGGCCGGGGGACAACACUCCGAAAGGGGUGCUAAUACCGGAUACGAAGUCUGUGCCGCAUGGUACGGAUUUGAAAGAUGGCCUCUAUUUAUAAGCUAUCGCCGGGGGAUGGGCCUGCGUCCGAUUAGCUGGUUGGUGGGGUAACGGCCUACCAAGGCGACGAUCGGUAGCCGGUCUGAGAGGAUGAACGGCCACAUUGGGACUGAGUCACGGCCCAGACUCCUACGGGAGGCAGCAGUGGGGAAUCUUCCGCAAUGGGCGCAAGCCUGACGGAGCAACGCCGCGUGAGUGAGGAAGUUCUUCGGAACGUAAAGCUCUGUUGUUCCUGACGAACCUCCCUUCUAUCAACAACGGAGGGGACUGACGGUAGGGAACGAGGAAGCCACGGCUAACUACGUGCCAGCCGCAGC
rnacentral:rRNA from 1 species